rnacentral:rRNA from 1 species
GACGAACGCUGGCGGCGUGCUUAACACAUGCAAGUCGAACGGAAAGGCCCUGCUUUUGUGGGGUGCUCGAGUGGCGAACGGGUGAGUAACACGUGAGUAACCUGCCCUUGACUUUGGGAUAACUUCAGGAAACUGGGGCUAAUACCGGAUAGGAGCUCCUGCUGCAUGGUGGGGGUUGGAAAGUUUCGGCGGUUGGGGAUGGACUCGCGGCUUAUCAGCUUGUUGGUGGGGUAGUGGCUUACCAAGGCUUUGACGGGUAGCCGGCCUGAGAGGGUGACCGGCCACAUUGGGACUGAGAUACGGCCCAGACUCCUACGGGAGGCAGCAGUGGGGAAUAUUGCGCAAUGGGGGGAAGCCUGAUGCAGCAACGCCGCGUGCGGGAUGACGGCCUUCGGGUUGUAAACCGCUUUCGCCUGUGACGAAGCGUGAGUGACGGUAAUGGGUAAAGAAGCACCGGCUAACUACGUG